AUUGAACGCUGGCGGUAGGCCUAACACAUGCAAGUCGAGCGGAUGAAGGGAGCUUGCUCCUGGAAUCAGCGGCGGACGGGUGAGUAAUGCCUAGGAAUCUGCCUGGUAGUGGGGGAUAACGUCCGGAAACGGGCGCUAAUACCGCAUACGUCCUGAGGGAGAAAGUGGGGGAUCUUCGGACCUCACGCUAUCAGAUGAGCCUAGGUCGGAUUAGCUAGUUGGUGGGGUAAAGGCCUACCAAGGCGACGAUCCGUAACUGGUCUGAGAGGAUGAUCAGUCACACUGGAACUGAGACACGGUCCAGACUCCUACGGGAGGCAGCAGUGGGGAAUAUUGGACUAUGGGCGAAAGCCUGAUCCAGCCAUGCCGCGUGUGUGAAGAAGGUCUUCGGAUUGUAAAGCACUUUCAGUUGGGAGGAAGGGCAGUAAGUUAAUACCUUGCUGUUUUGACGUUACCAACAGAAUAAGCACCGGCUAACUUCGUG
rnacentral:rRNA from 1 species